UACGGAGGGUGCAAGCGUUGUUCGGAAUCACUGGGCGUAAAGCGCGUGUAGGCGGCUAUUUAAGUCUGAUGUGAAAGCCCCGGGCUCAACCUGGGAACUGCAUUUGAAACUGGCGGGCUUGAGUAUGGCAGAGGGGGGUGGAAUUCCGCGUGUAGCAGUGAAAUGCGUAGAGAUGCGGAGGAACACCGAUGGCGAAGGCAGCCCCCUGGGCCAAUACUGACGCUCAGGCACGAAAGCGUGGGGAGCAAACAGG
rnacentral:rRNA from 1 species